CCUACGGGAGGCAGCAGUGAGGAAUAUUGGUCAAUGGUCGGGAGACUGAACAAGCAAAGCCGCGUGAGGGAUGAAGGUACAGAGUAUCGUAAACCUCUUGUGUCAGGGAACAAAGGCGGGGACGCGGCACAGGAUGAGUGUAACUGAAGAACAAGCAUAGGCUAACUCCGUGCCAGCAGCCGCGGUAAUACGUAGGGGGCAAGCGUUAUCCGGAUUUACGGGGUGUAAAGGGAGCGUAGACGGCUGUGCAAGUCUGAAGUGAAAGCCCGUGGCUCAACCGCGGAACUGCUUUGGAAACUGUAUAGCUUGAGUACUGGAGAGGCAGGCGGAAUUCCUAGUGUAGCGGGGAGAUGCGUAGCUAUUAGGAGGAACACCAGUGGCGAAGGCGGCCUGCUGGACAGAAACUGACGUUGAGGCUCGAAAGCGUGGGGAGCAAACAGGAUUAGAUACCCCUGUAGUC
rnacentral:rRNA from 1 species